rnacentral:rRNA from 1 species
UACGAAGGGUGCAAGCGUUAAUCGGAAUUACUGGGCGUAAAGGGUGCGUAGGCGGUUGUUUAAGUCUGUUGUGAAAUCCCCGAGCUCAACUUGGGAAUUGCAAUGGAUACUGGCAGGCUGGAGUAUGGUAGAGGAAGGUGGAAUUCCCGGUGUAGCAGUGAAAUGCGUAGAGAUCGGGAGGAACACCAGUGGCGAAGGCGGCCUUCUGGACCAAUACUGACGCUCAUGCACGAAAGCGUGGGGAGCAAACAGG